rnacentral:rRNA from 1 species
AUACGUAGGGAGCGAGCGUUGUCCGGAUUUACUGGGUGUAAAGGGUGCGUAGGCGGGACUGCAAGUCAGGCGUGAAAUACCGGGGCUUAACUCCGGGGCUGCGCUUGAAACUGCGGUUCUUGAGUGAAGUAGAGGCAGGCGGAAUUCCUAGUGUAGCGGUGAAAUGCGUAGAUAUUAGGAGGAACACCAGUGGCGAAGGCGGCCUGCUGGGCUUUAACUGACGCUGAGGCACGAAAGCAUGGGGAGCAAACAGGAUUAGAUACCCUGGUAGUCCAUGCCGUAAACGAUGAUUGCUAGGUGUGGGGGGACUGACCCCUUCCGUGCCGGAGUUAACACAAUAAGCAAUCCACCUGGGGAGUACGACCGCAAGGUUGAA